UACGGAGGGUGCGAGCGUUGUCCGGAAUCAUUGGGCGUAAAGGGCGCGUAGGUGGCCCAGUCAGCGUGCGGUGAAAGCUCGGGGCUCAACCCCGGGUCGGCCGUGCGAACUGUUUUGCUUGAGCACUGUAGAGGCAGGCGGAAUUCCGGGUGUAGCGGUGGAAUGCGUAGAGAUCCGGAAGAACACCGGUGGCGAAGGCGGCCUGCUGGGCAGUAGCUGACACUGAGGCGCGACAGCGUGGGGAGCAAACAGG
rnacentral:rRNA from 1 species